GAUGAACGCUAGCGGCAGGCUUAAUACAUGCAAGUCGAGGGGCAGCAUGACUGUAGCAAUACAGUUGAUGGCGACCGGCAAACGGGUGCGGAACACGUACAGAACCUUCCUUCGAGCGGGGAAUAGCCCAGAGAAAUUUGGAUUAAUACCCCAUAGUAUAUUGGAGUGGCAUCACUUUGAUAUUAAAGAUUUAUCACUUGAAGAUGGCUGUGCGGCUGAUUAGGUAGUUGGCGGGGUAACGGCCCACCAAGCCUGCGAUCAGUAACUGGUGUGAGAGCACGACCAGUCACACGGGCACUGAGACACGGGCCCGACUCCUACGGGAGGCAGCAGUAAGGAAUAUUGGUCAAUGGACGAAAGUCUGAACCAGCCAUGCCGCGUGGAGGAUGAAGGUCCUCUGGAUUGUAAACUUCUUUUAUAUGGGACGAAAAAAGGCUUUUCUAAGUCGUCUGAUGGUACCAUAUGAAUAAGCACCGGCUAACUCCGUGCCAGCAGCCGCGGUAAAAC
rnacentral:rRNA from 1 species